rnacentral:rRNA from 1 species
UACGAACUGUGCGAACGUUAUUCGGAAUCACUGGGCUUACAGGGUGCGUAGGCGGCCUGACAAGUAGGGUGUGAAAGCCCCCGGCUUAACCGGGGAAUGGCGCCCUAAACUGUCGGGCUGGAGUGAGAUAGGGGUGUGCGGAACUUCCGGUGGAGCGGUGAAAUGUGUUGAUAUCGGAAGGAACGCCGGUGGCGAAAGCGGCACACUGGAUCUCAACUGACGCUGAGGUGCGAGAGCGUGGGGAGCGAACCGG